GACGAACGCUGGCGGCGUGCUUAACACAUGCAAGUCGAACGGAGCGAAUGAAAGCUUGCUUUUAUGAGCUUAGUGGCAAACGGGUGAGUAACACGUAGACAACCUGCCGACAGGAUGGGGACAACAUUCCGAAAGGAAUGCUAAUACCGAAUGAAGCGGAGGAGAGGCAUCUCUCUUCCGUGAAAGAUGGCCUCUGAAUAUGCUAUCACCUGUCGAUGGGUCCGCGUCUGAUUAGCUGGUUGGUGAGGUAACGGCUCACCAAGGCGACGAUCAGUAGCCGGUCUGAGAGGAUGAACGGCCACAUUGGGACUGAGACACGGCCCAGACUCCUACGGGAGGCAGCAGUGGGGAAUCUUCCGCAAUGGGCGCAAGCCUGACGGAGCAACGCCGCGUGAGUGAAGAAGGUCUUCGGAUCGUAAAGCUCUGUUGAUGGGGACGAACGUGCGAAGGGUGAAUAAUCCUUUGCAAUGACG
rnacentral:rRNA from 1 species